AGGGGUGUAGCUCAGUGGUAGAGCAUUUGGCUACCAUGCACGAGGCCUAGGGUUCAAUCCCCUGCACUGCAA
rnacentral:tRNA from 1 species